rnacentral:rRNA from 1 species
GAUGAACGCUGGCGGCGUGCUUAAUACAUGCAAGUCGAGCGAAUGGAUUAAGAGCUUGCUCUUAUGAAGUUAGCGGCGGACGGGUGAGUAACACGUGGGUAACCUGCCCAUAAGACUGGGAUAACUCCGGGAAACCGGGGCUAAUACCGGAUAACAUUUUGCACUGCAUGGUGCGAAAUUGAAAGGCGGCUUCGGCUGUCACUUAUGGAUGGACCCGCGUCGCAUUAGCUAGUUGGUGAGGUAACGGCUCACCAAGGCAACGAUGCGUAGCCGACCUGAGAGGGUGAUCGGCCACACUGGGACUGAGACACGGCCCAGACUCCUACGGGAGGCAGCAGUAGGGAAUCUUCCGCAAUGGACGAAAGUCUGACGGAGCAACGCCGCGUGAGUGAUGAAGGCUUUCGGGUCGUAAAACUCUGUUGUUAGGGAAGAACAAGUGCUAGUUGAAUAAGCUGGCACCUUGACGGUACCUAACCAGAAAGCCACGGCUAACUACGUGCCAGCAGCCGCGGUAAUACGUAGGUGGCAAGCGUUAUCCGGAAUUAUUGGGCGUAAAGCGCGCGCAGGUGGUUUCUUAAGUCUGAUGUGAAAGCCCACGGCUCAACCGUGGAGGGUCAUUGGAAACUGGGAGACUUGAGUGCAGAAGAGGAAAGUGGAAUUCCAUGUGUAGCGGUGAAAUGCGUAGAGAUAUGGAGGAACACCAGUGGCGAAGGCGACUUUCUGGUCUGUAACUGACACUGAGGCGCGAAUGCGUGGGGAGCAAACAG